GCGCCCGUAGUGAAACGGAUAUCACGGAAGCCUCCGAAGCUUCUAGUUCGGGUUCGAAUCCCGACGGGCGCG
rnacentral:tRNA from 1 species